GGAUUAGAUACCCUGGUAGUCCACGCCGUAAACGAUGUCUACUAGCCGUUGGGAGGCUUGACCUCUUAGUGGCGCAGCUAACGCGAUAAGUAGACCGCCUGGGGAGUACGGUCGCAAGAUUAAAACUCAAAUGAAUUGACGGGGGCCCGCACAAGCGGUGGAGCAUGUGGUUUAAUUCGAGGCAACGCGAAAAACCUUACCAGGCCUUGACAUCCUGAGAACUUUCUAGAGAUAGAUUGGUGCCUUCGGGAACUCAGUGACAGGUGUUGCAUGGCUGUCGUCAGCUCGUGCUG
rnacentral:rRNA from 1 species